GCCGUUGUGAACUCAGCAGGUAGAAUUCCGCACUUUUAAUGCGAUGGUUGACGGUUCGAAUCCGUCGCG
rnacentral:tRNA from 1 species